UCCUCCUCAGAGGAGCCUAAACGCCUCAGAACAUUGCCAGGUCCACCAAGACCCAACAUCCAGGGUACCUGGGCUGAACGCAGUUUCCUCCCAAGUAGAUGAGUGAUUCACAUAAGAGACAAGAUUGUCUGAAACCUACACUUUUACCACACUGGUUCAUACAACAACAACAACAACAGCAGCAACAAAACGAUAACAAGAACAACAAAAAUAAUAAUAAUCACGUGCCAAAGCUCCAACAAGAGCAGGUGAUUUCCCUGGAGACAGACACCUAUCCAAGAAAGCAGUCCAGCUGAGGUUCUGCAAAAGGCCAACAGAAGACUCACAAGAUGCAUGGAAACAGGAAAGGGAAUUGCUGCCUCUGAAGAGCUAGGAGGCGCUUUUCAAGACUGAGACAGGACAGAAAACUUUGGUUAACCAGCUCCAUUGUUGAUCCUUCAAGUAUGCAUAACCUCAAACCUAAUCGGGCACCUUGAGGCAGAAGUAGAGCCCUGUGCAGACGGAGGCCCACCCAGUCCAGGGAGGCUCCACUAUCAACGCCCCCGCCCUCAGUACAUCUACACACCGCGGUGCACGAUGCGCCAUGGAGAAGCAAGCUGAGCAGAAUCCGCUGUCAAACAAACAAAAAGACAUCAGCACCAGCUCUAGAAACUCGCGGAGGUUGGCUCUUGAAAGGAAACCUCCUGUAGUGAACCAUAACUUUUCAAUCCAGGUGCAGUCCCCACCCACCCGCUUCAGCCAUCCAGAAGAGUAAGCCUUUGACCGUUUCCAAUCGGCAAAUAAAUGAGUAA